GACGAACGCUGGCGGCGUGCUUAACACAUGCAAGUCGAACGGUGAAGCGCCUUCCUUUUUGGUGGGUGUGGAUGAGUGGCGAACGGGUGAGUAACACGUGAGUAACCUGCCCCCUUCUUCUGGAUAACCGCAUGAAAGUGUGGCUAAUACGGGAUAUUCUGGGUCUGUCGCAUGAUGGGUCUGGGAAAGAUAUUGUUUCGGUGGGGGAUGGGCUCGCGGCCUAUCAGCUUGUUGGUGGGGUGAUGGCCUACCAAGGCGGUGACGGGUAGCCGGCCUGAGAGGGUGGACGGCCACACUGGGACUGAGGCCCGGCCCAGACUCCUACGGGAGGCAGCAUUGGGGAAUAUUGCACAAUGGGCGCAAGCCUGAUGCAGCGACGCCGCGUGAGGGAUGGAGGCCUUCGGGUUGUGAACCUCUUUCGCCAGUGAAGCAGGCCUGCCUCGUUUGUGGGUGGGUUGACGGUAGCUGGAUAAGAAGCGCCGGCUAACUACGUG
rnacentral:rRNA from 1 species